rnacentral:rRNA from 1 species
GACGAACGCUGGCGGCGUGCCUAAUACAUGCAAGUCGAGCGAACCAAUAGGAGCUUGCUCCUGUUGGUUAGCGGCGGACGGGUGAGUAACACGUGGGCAACCUGCCUGUAAGACUGGGAUAACACCGGGAAACCGGUGCUAAUACCGGAUAAUCUUUUUCCUCUCAUGAGGAAAAACUGAAAGUCGGUUUCGGCUGACACUUACAGAUGGGCCCGCGGCGCAUUAGCUAGUUGGUGAGGUAACGGCUCACCAAGGCGACGAUGCGUAGCCGACCUGGGAGGGUGAGCGGCCACACUGGGACGUAGACACGGCCCAGACUCCUACGGGAGGCAGCAGUAGGGAAUCUUCCACAAUGGACGAAAGUCUGAUGGAGCAACGCCGCGUGAGCGAUGAAGGCCUUCGGGUCGUAAAGCUCUGUUGUUAGGGAAGAACAAGUACCGGAGUAACUGCCGGUGCCUUGACGGUACCUAACCAGAAAGCCACGGCUAACUACGUGCCAGCAGCCGCAGUAA